GAACAGCCUGGGCUGGGAGGCACUGCGCACGCGCGCCGAGUCGGGCGGAAAAAUAAACGAGUUGAUGGAAGACUGAACAUAACUUUACCCAGGAGGGAAAACGAAAGAACCCGAAGGAUCCCGAGGCUUUCCUGUCUGAGUACCGCUGCACUCACCGCGCCUCGGAGUCCCCGCCCCCUACCCUCUGAUUGGCUGCUGUGCAGAACGCGCGAGUGACUGGCACGGUGGCUAUAGGUUCUCACCCUUGGGAGGAUGCCAUGGAAACAAAAAGGAGCCUCUCCCGACUCUCCGAUUAAUUCUCUAAGCAUGCCUCUUGCAGACACAACCCACGCACUCUUUAAAACAUCUGAAUGGAUCAGUUUGAAUGAACCAUCGCAACCUCAAAAAGAUCAAGACGUGAGAGGAGGCACACUUGCGCUACCAGAAAAUAAAGAUGCUUGUUAACUGUACAUUAAAGAAAUUAAGAUGUCUGGAUGGAUAAACAUACCGAUGGAACAGAAUAGGGAAGCAAGAUGCAGCCUCACCUUUAUGCAUAGUUUAUAAUAACAAAGGUGUCACAAAUUUAAAUAAUAAUAAAAGGUAGCACAACAGAGUUAGGGGAAAGGACCUACUUGACAUCCGACUGUGUGCUUGCUUAUAGGGAAAGAAUAUGAAAUCGGAUUCUUGUUAACACUAAACACAGCAGUAAGUCCCAAGAGAAUUGUUGACCUGAAAGUGACAGAAGCGGUGAGCUUGGCUGACGACAUAGGGGAAUACCUACACCUCAGUUUAAACAAAGCCCGAAUAAAACGCACUGUGCUACUCCACGUACCAUCAGAAGAGUGAAAAUAUCUGGGCCUGUUGCUCAAUGGUGAACUGCAAGCCACUCAGGGCCUGGCAUACUAAGAGAAAAGACAUAUGGAUGUAUUUACAAGACCAGGUGAAGUCUAGGUGUCAUACAAAGACCUGGAUAACAAUCCAUCCUCCUCAGUUGGCAAGAUGCAGCCAGGUAAGCAAUUUGAAUGUAUUAAGCCUCUUUGGUAAAAGAAUAACCAUGGUGCCUUUGCCUGCCAGUG
rnacentral:lncRNA from 1 species